rnacentral:rRNA from 1 species
GGGGAAUUUUGGACAAUGGGCGCAAGCCUGAUCCAGCCAUGCCGCGUGCGGGAAGAAGGCCUUCGGGUUGUAAACCGCUUUCGGACGGAAAGAAAUCGCUUGGGUUAAUACCCUGAGUGGAUGACGGUACCGUAAGAAGAAGCACCGGCUAACUACGUGCCAGCAGCCGCGGUAAUACGUAGGGUGCGAGCGUUAAUCGGAAUUACUGGGCGUAAAGCGUGCGCAGGCGGAUUGUUAAGCAAGAUGUGAAAUCCCCGGGCUUAACCUGGGAAUGGCAUUUUGAACUGGCAGUCUGGAGUGCGGCAGAGGGGGGUGGAAUUCCACGUGUAGCAGUGAAAUGCGUAGAGAUGUGGAGGAACACCGAUGGCGAAGGCAGCCCCCUGGGCCUGCACUGACGCUCAUGCACGAAAGCGUGGGGAGCAAAC